AUACUCUGAUGGAGUUGUUGAACAGAUUCGGAACGUACGUUGUUGAAUACGGCCCCUGCAAACAAACAAUAUUGCAACUAGUUACAGAGUGACUAAAU